AAGGAAAAUACUUUAAACCACAAAUUAUAAUAAUUUUUAAGUUGAUUUCUAAAAAAAGUGAAUUUGGUAAUAUUGUUAAUCGUGCAACCAGAAUUGUAUGUUGAAGCAAAAAUAUUGUGAACAAACACUCGAGAUUGAAAGGCAAAAAAGUGGCUGAUUAUGGAAAGAAGAAAAA